AUGCUGCCCUCCUGGGAGCUCUGCUGCCUGCAAAGGGAGGAAGGAGCCUGCGGCGUUUACAUGCCUCUAACCAAAUCUCCCUGCUCAGUUCUUUCAGCUGUCAUGUCCAGGUUUGCUGUUUCCAGCUCAGACAUGCUGGCAAAAGGGACGCUUAUGGAGGAGAGCUCAGUCAGCGCCAAGUCCAAAAUCUCUCAAGGCUGCCAGUUGUUUUGCUUGGAGGCUCAUCUCUACCCUGGCCUAGCAGAAUAAUGAAAGCAUGACAAAUCUGAUUAGUCUUUCUUCAGCCCUCAAGUAUGUAACUUCUCCUGCUGUAAAAAUGGAAACUUGAGGCUCUGGUUAUGCAAAAAUUACUUUAGAAGGAAAACAAUGACUUGAGCUGUCACAGCAACAUUUCCAGUCAGGUGGAGCAGCCAAGCCAUGGACACCCAGGCUUGUGCUGGAGGUUUGUGUGUAGUGCCUGCUGACUGCACUGCUGGUGGCUCAUGCAGGAGGCUCAGGUGGAGUUGGUGGAAGCUGGGCUUAUCUGGGAAGCCCCUGCAGGAAUCUAUACUGUGCUGGGCAGUCUCUGGGACAGGCACACAAGUGCCAGCAGAAGUGGAGCUCCCCGGACAGGUUUUUAUUUCUAAGACUCUGGAUGCAGAAGCAUUUGGAAAACGGUGAAAAAACAGGAUCAAGCUGGUUUAAAUUAGCCUAAUUACUUACUUAUAUAGCAUUAUACUUUUCUAAGUCCAUGUAAGAAGCAGUGUCAGCUGCUUUGCCUGAACUACUGCAUUUGGUUUUCGGAGACCACCCACAUUCUUUGGUUAAUAUGAUGGGAGUUUGUUGGGUAUGCAGCUGUUAGGCUAUCAACUCAGAGGCGGGAUUAAUUUAUAUGAAGAAAUAUAUAAGAAAUGCUUUUCUAAAUUAAUAGUCGUUUUAUUAUUAGACAGGAAUAUCCUUACUGUGGAUCUUUAACAAGAAUUGAGCUGUGGUUUUGGACUGUUUGUACAGGAAUAUGAUGCAUAUAAUUAUAUAAUGGCAGCAGCAGCUGGCUUUUUGAGACGUCCACCGGAGGUGCUCAAACUCAGCAUUGUAGUGGAGCACACAACAGCACUGCUAGAUAUCCCUGCCCUUUGAGACAUUUGUGUCUCAUGCUGGCACAGAAUUGUGCCAUACUCUUGGCUCCAGCUGUGCUACAGCCUCCACUUCAGCCUUUAUUAACAUGAGGGAAGUGCAGCAUAUUCGAUAUAUCCUAUAAAUUUACUGCCAU
rnacentral:lncRNA from 1 species